CGCCUUCUUGCUUAAUAUGUAUAAGAGGUCCCGCCUGCCCAGUGACAUCAUGUUUAACGGCCGCGGUAUUUUGACCGUGCGAAGGUAGCGUAAUCACUUGUCUUUUAAAUGAAGACUGGUAUGAAUGGCAUCACGAAGACCUUACUGUCUCCUAUAUCUAAUCAGUGAAACUGAUCUCCCCGUGAAGAAGCGGGGAUAUAACCAUAAGACGAGAAGACCCCAUGGAGCUUUAAACUUAAACCACCUGCUUAAGCAACCAACCUACGGGAUAAUUAUUUAACCAAGCAGAGAUGGCUUAUGUUUUCGGUUGGGGCGACCACGGAGAACAAUAAAUCCUCCACGAUGAAUGAAAUACUCUUAACCAAGAGCCACAGCUCUAAGUAUUAGAACAUCUAACAUACAUUGAUCCAAUCUUAUUGAUCAACGAACCAAGUUACCCUGGGGAUAACAGCGCAAUCCAUUUCAAGAGUCCAUAUCGACAAAUGGGUUUACGACCUCGAUGUUGGAUCAGGGCAUCCCAGUGGUGCAGCCGCUACUAAAGGUUCGUUUGUUCCACGAUUAAAGCCCU
rnacentral:rRNA from 1 species